rnacentral:rRNA from 1 species
CGGGAGGCAGCAGUGGGGAAUAUUGCACAAUGGGCGAAAGCCUGAUGCAGCGACGCCGCGUGAGGGAUGACGGCCUUCGGGUUGUAAACCUCUUUCAGCAGGGAAGAAGGCCUUCGGGUGGACGGUACCUGCAGAAGAAGCGCCGGCUAACUACGUGCCAGCAGCCGCGGUAAUACGUAGGGCGCAAGCGUUGUCCGGAAUUAUUGGGCGUAAAGAGCUCGUAGGCGGUCUGUCGCGUCUGGUGUGAAAACCUCAGGCUCAACCUGGGGCGUGCAUCGGGUACGGGCAGACUAGAGUGCGGUAGGGGAGACUGGAAUUCCUGGUGUAGCGGUGGAAUGCGCAGAUAUCAGGAGGAACACCGAUGGCGAAGGCAGGUCUCUGGGCCGCAACUGACGCUGAGGAGCGAAAGCAUGGGGAGCGAACAGGAUUAGAUACCCUGGUAGUCCAUGCCGUAAACGUUGGGCACUAGGUGUGGGGCUCAUUCCACGAGUUCCGUGCCGCAGCUAACGCAUUAAGUGCCCCGCCUGGGGAGUACGGCCGCAAGGCUAAAACUCAAAGGAAUUGACGGGGGCCCGCACAAGCGGCGGAGCAUGCGGAUUAAUUCGAUGCAACGCGAAGAACCUUACCAAGGCUUGACAUGCACCGGACGCUGCCAGAGAUGGUGGUUCCGCAAGGUCGGUGCACAGGUGGUGCAUGGUUGUCGUCAGCUCGUGUCGUGAGAUGUUGGGUUAAGUCCCGCAACGAGCGCAACCCUUGUCCUAUGUUGCCAGCGGGUUAUGCCGGGGACUCAUGGGAGACUGCCGGGGUCAACUCGGAGGAAGGCGGGGAUGACGUCAAAUCAUCAUGCCCCUUAUGUCUUGGGCUUCACGCAUGCUACAAUGGCCGGUACAGAGGGCUGCGAUACCGUAAGGUGGAGCGAAUCCCAAAAAGCCGGUCUCAGUUCGGAUUGGGGUCUGCAACUCGACCCCAUGAAGUCGGAGUCGCUAGUAAUCGCAGAUCAGCAACGCUGCGGUGAAUACGUUCCCGGGCCUUGUACACACCGCCCGUCAAGUCACGAAAGUUGGUAACACCCGAAGCUCAUG